CUUUUCUGAUAAAUAUUAAAUAUCUUAUAGCAAUAAACCUAAAAAUAUCAAAUAUCAAAUCCCUAAACCUAAUCUCUAAAUCCCUAAAAAAAUCAUUCUUAUUUCUUAUUCAGUUAUUCUCCUUUCUUAAGAGUUAGCUAGGGUUUGGCGAUUUCUUCUCAUUCCUCCAUUUUUUUUGCACAAGCAGUCAAGCAGCAAGCACACAAGUUACUCGGCUCCUUCUCAUCUGGGUAACUGGUAAAUUUUCUCAUCUUCCUUUCACUUUGUUACUGUUUUUACCAAAAAAAACGGAAAUAGCCCCCUUUCGUUUUCAGUUUUCACUCAGAUGUUGAAAUCUGUACAGUCUCGGACCUCGAGUACGGGUCUUUUAAAUCCAUC
rnacentral:lncRNA from 1 species